rfam:Candidatus Marinimicrobia bacterium TMED6 51691, whole genome shotgun sequence.
AAGGUCCCAAGGGUUGGGCUGUUCGCCCAUUAAAGCGGCACGCGAGCUGGGUUUAGAACGUCGUGAGACAGUUCGGUCCCUAUCCUCUAUGAUCGUAGGAAAUUUGAAGGAAUCUGCUUCUAGUACGAGAGGACCGAAGCGGGUCAACCUCUAGUGUACCUGUUGUUACAUCAGUAGCAUCGCAGGGUAGCUAUGUUGACUAAGGAUAAGCGCUGAAAGCAUAUAAGCGCGAAACCUAUCCUAAGAUAAGAUUUCCUGUCUUCGGACAAUAGACUUCCGGUAGACUACCGGGUUGAUAGGCCAUAGAUGUAAGUAUAGCAAUAUAUUCAGUCGAGUGGUACUAAUUAGUCUAGAAACUUGAUUAA